AGAAAUUGUCAAGGUGCAGAUCGGAGCAGGGACUGGCAUUGCCAGUCAGUAUUUAGCCUUCGAUUCAAUCAGUUCAAGUUUAGGAAAAGUGUUAGUGGCCAUUUAAUUGCUUAUUUAACUCAAGAAAGUGCGGAAAAGGACAAGCAAAUCGAUUCAUUUGAUUAAAUAUGAAGUAAUGAUUCCGAUUUUCAAUUUAAAUAGGCAAUUAUGGGCCGAAGUGUUGCAUAUUUUCACUCGUAUUAGUAUGUGUGUGUGUGUGUAAAAGUCGCCAUGAAUUUAAGACGCAAUAUUUUACGCAUACAUACAUACAUAUGUAUGUAUGGAGGAGAAGCCAAACUUAAAAUGUAUGAUUACUUAAUCUAACGGGAAUCACGUGCAAGUAAAUCGAAACGGAAAACGGCAGUAUAUAUGUAUAUAUUCAUAUCCCCAAUUAAGCCGUUUAAAAUUUAUGGAGAAUAAGGAAUAUUUAUUUCAUUAUACGUAAAUUGGACUGGAAAACAUCAAUCUGUAUGGAUAUUUAUAUUCCCGAUAACGCCGCUAAAAAUGUAUGGAGAACAAGGAAUAUUGAUUUCAAAAUCGUUAAUUUUAUUCAACAUAAAUUGGACUGAAAAAGAUCAAUCGGGAUAUUCUGGACAUCAGUAUGGAUAUUCAUAUAAGGAAUUACGAGGAUCCUGCCUGAAAAUGGAAUAACGUUGUAUUGAACAAGUCACGUUGUUAUUUUGUACCGUUUUAAAAAUUAAUAAAAAAUAACGAUAAGAAAUUUUACAAGCCAAAAA